CCAGCCGAGCCUCUUGACAAUGCUUAAAUAGGCUGGG
rnacentral:sRNA from 12 species